GUUCGCUUCAGCAGCACAUACUAAAAUUGGAACUGUACAGAAACAAUUAGCAUGGCCCCUGCACAAAGAUGACACAAAAUCAUCCCCCGGUGUCCCAUAUGGUC